rnacentral:rRNA from 1 species
UACGAAGGGGGCAAGCGUUGUUCGGAAUUACUGGGCGUAAAGGGCGCGUAGGCGGCUUAUCAAGUCAGGCGUGAAAUUCCCGGGCUCAACCUGGGGGCUGCGCUUGAUACUGAUUGGCUUGAAUGCGGGAGAGGAUAGUGGAAUUCCCAGUGUAGAGGCGAAAUUCGUAGAUAUUGGGAAGAACACCGGUGGCGAAGGCGGCUAUCUGGCCCGUAAUUGACGCUGAGGCGCGAAAGCGUGGGGAGCAAACAGG